rnacentral:rRNA from 1 species
AUUGAACGCUGGCGGCAGGCCUAACACAUGCAAGUCGAGCGGAUGAAGGGAGCUUGCUCCUGGAUUCAGCGGCGGACGGGUGAGUAAUGCCUAGGAAUCUGCCUGGUAGUGGGGGAUAACGUCCGGAAACGGGCGCUAAUACCGCAUACGUCCUGAGGGAGAAAGUGGGGGAUCUUCGGACCUCACGCUAUCAGAUGAGCCUAGGUCGGAUUAGCUAGUUGGUGGGGUAAAGGCCUACCAAGGCGACGAUCCGUAACUGGUCUGAGAGGAUGAUCAGUCACACUGGAACUGAGAAACGGUCCAGACUCCUACGGGAGGCAGCAGUGGGGAAUAUUGGACAAUGGGCGAAAGCCUGAUCCAGCCCUGCCGCGUGUGUGAAGAAGGUCUUCGGAUGGUAAAGCACUUUAAGUUGGGAGGAAGGGCAGUAAGUUAGUACCUUGCUGUUUUGACGUUACCAACAGAAUAAGCAACGGCUAACUUCGUG